CAACCUCAACUCAUAUGGGACUACCCCCUGAAUUUAAGCAUAUUAAUUAGGGGAGGAAAAGAAACUAACAAGGAUUUUCUUAGUAGCGGCGAGCGAAAAGAAAUCAGUUCAGCACUAAGUCACUUUGUCUAUAUGGCAAAUGUGAGAUGCAGUGUACGGAACAUCAACAUUCUAGUAUGAGAAGUUAACGAUUUAAGUCCUUCUUAAAUGAGGCCAUUUACCCAUAGAGGGUGCCAGGCCCGUAUAACGUUAAUGAUUACUAGAUGGUGUUUCCAAAGAGUCGUGUUGCUUGAUAGUGCAGCACUAAGUGGGUGGUAAACUCCAUCUAAAACUAAAUAUAACCAUGAGACCGAUAGUAAACAAGUACCGUGAGGGAAAGUUGAAAAGAACUCUGAAUAGAGAGUUAAAUAGUACGUGAAACUGCUUAGAGGUUAAGCCCGAUGAACCUGAAUAUCCGUUAUGGAAAAUUCAUCAUUAGAAUUGUAAUAUUUUAAACAAUAUUAUAAUAAUAGUGUGCAUUUUUUCCAUAUAAGGACAUUGUAAUCUAUUAGCAUAAAUAUUUAUCAUAAAAUUAUGUCUGAUU
rnacentral:ncRNA from 1 species